GAUGAACGCUGGCGGCGUGCCUAAUACAUGCAAGUCGAGCGAACAGAUAAGGAGCUUGCUCCUUUGACGUUAGCAGCGGACGGGUGAGUAACACGUGGGUAACCUACCUAUAAGACUGGGAUAACUUCGGGAAACCGGAGCUAAUACCGGAUAAUAUUUCGAACCGCAUGGUUCGAUAGUGAAAGAUGGUUUUGCUAUCACUUAUAGAUGGACCCGCGCCGUAUUAGCUAGUUGGUAAGGUAACGGCUUACCAAGGCGACGAUACGUAGCCGACCUGAGAGGGUGAUCGGCCACACUGGAACUGAGACACGGUCCAGACUCCUACGGGAGGCAGCAGUAGGGAAUCUUCCGCAAUGGGCGAAAGCCUGACGGAGCAACGCCGCGUGAGUGAUGAAGGUCUUCGGAUCGUAAAACUCUGUUAUUAGGGAAGAACAUACGUGUAAGUAACUGUGCACGUCUUGACGGUACCUAAUCAGAAAGCCACGGCUAACUACGUG
rnacentral:rRNA from 1 species